GGGACUGUAGCUCAGCGGUAGAGCACCUGCCUCACACAUAUGAGGCACUGUUCAAUUCUCAGAACCA
rnacentral:tRNA from 1 species